GAUCCUGUAGUGUAGCGGUUAUCACUAUGGAUUCUGAUUUAGCCAAAAAUUCACCUUCCAUCGACCCAGGUUCGAUUCCUGGCAGGAUCU